CCACCUAUGUUAUAAAUGUAUGGUGCGCAUGAACUUAUUUGGCAGUCUAGGUCAUUUAAGUCCAUCGUUAACAUGAAUAGGUGGUCGGGGAAAGUCGCUGUAGUUACUGGUGCCAGUGCAGGAAUUGGGGCAAGUGUGGCUGAAAAAUUGGUACAGGAAGGAUUGAAUGUUGUUGGUAUAGCUAGGAGAAAAGACCGCAUCUUAGAAUUAGCCAAAAAAUGUGGGGAGCAGAAUGGAAAAUUGUAUGCAGUCCAGGCAGAUUUGACAAAACAAGAAGAAAUCAUACAAGCAUUUGAUUGGAUUAAUAAGAAUGUGGGUCCCGUUAGUAUCUUAGUAAACAAUGCUGGUCUAGGAAGAAAGACUAACCUCAUUAAUGGUGACAUUGAAGAGUGGAAAAAAGUACUGGACACAAAUGUUCUAGCCGUAGCGAUUGCCUCAAGAGAAGCUAUCAAAUCCAUGCAAGAAAACAAGAUCGAUGGUCAUAUCGUUAAUAUCAAUAGUACAGCUGGUCAUCAAGUUCCAAAAAUUCCAUAUAAUAACGUUUAUCCAGCUUCAAAGUUCGCUGUAACUGCAUUAUCGGAAACAUUGAGAAAUGAGCUUAUCACUAUUGACAGCAAGAUAAAAGUAUCGAGCGUUAGUCCAGGAUGUACUAUGACAGAAAUAUUUGAAGUGAACGGAUUUACUGAAGAUGAACAAGUGCAACAAUUAUUAAAAGUUGUUCCGUCAUUGAAGGCAGAGGAUAUCGCCAAUGCUGUACUAUAUGUUUUGGGAACUCCUCCAAUGGUUCAGGUACAGUAGUUUCAAAUAUCAGUAUAACAUAAAAUUUUAUAUUGUUCAUUUAACGGUAUUCUAAUCUGCUUCAAAUGGUCAAUCAAACAUUCGCGUACCAAUCUUUUGAUAAAAUGAUCGAUAAAUAUUUAUCAGAAAAUAAUUCAUAUUAGGACAUCACGAAAACUAUUAUUGGGUUAAACCGAUCAUGAUCUGACUCUUCGGACACUAACCCGGAUCACGUUCAUUGUUGUUCGGAAACUCAUAUAAUAGAGUUAAUCGGGUCGGAGUCAUAUGAUAGGAUCUUCUCUAUCCUGGUAAAACCGGAAAGACCCUGGCAUAAUAAUGAUUCAUUUUAUAGAAACAUCGCACACGGUUAGAUUGGUUUUUAUUAUAUUAUUAAAUAAUUUUCAGCCCCAAAAAGUGAAGAAAAGGAGCGAAAACCAUGCUUUUGAUUAAAUUAAGAAGUAUGUCAAAUAUUCUUUUUAAACCACUUUAAAAACCGAGAAACGAAUGGUUUCUCAAGGGCGGAGCAGUUGCUCCAAUGGUCGUUCCUUCUACGCAUAUAUGAUGAAAAUUCGAAAUCCUGAUCUAAUUCAAUCUAAAAAAAUCACACAUGAUUCGCUUUGAUUUAAUUUGUACUAUCUAAAAACUAUCAUUAACUAAUAUGUACCCUUAGGUAAAAUGUAUGAAACAUAUAAGUAAAGUGCCUUCUGAAAAAUUAUAAUAAGGUAAUGUGACAAUGGUAGGUCAUUGGAAGAGUGGGCCACCCCGUAGUAAAAUUAUUGGUAUGGUCGUUUUUAUAUGAAUUACCAUUAAAAAGGGUUACUGGGAGUGCCAUCUAUUUGCCGUAAGAUUAACUAUGUCCAAAUCUCAGCCUACUCGAAAUUAAUCAGUAUCCGACUGCAGACCGUGUUUUUUUGUCGUUAAGGCCGCUUGACAUGUCGCAAGACAACGUGCAAUGCAAUGCAAGACGCAAUAUUUCUCGAUGAAAAGUAUACAUAGAUGAAGUUCAGCUGAUUGUUUCUCGCAUUUGCAUCAUUAUCUGAUUGGUAUCAUUUUCAUUGUGUACAAGUUGCAAUUUUAGGAAGAAAUGAGUUUCUGAUCUGCUGUUAUUACAAGGAUUUCUUAGUUAUCUCAUGUUUUAUUUUUCUUGGGAGUUUGUCAAAUGUUUCUUUAUCCAUUCCCAAAUGUAUGUAUUUUGUAUGUUUCUCGACUAAUUCUAUAGCUGAAUUUAUGUUUUCUCUUAUUUUAUGUGGCCAUGGCUUGGACCACCAUAGCCUAGAUGCUCUUUUCUGCCCAAUAGACUCAAAAAGCAAGGCAUCAGCCUAUAAACUGACCACAAAAUAAGAAAAUACAAUUUGGAGUUAGGAAAUUGUUUACUUUUUCUUAUGGAAUUUUGAUAAGUGGCAACCAUGAUGUAAUGGGAAGAGACUUGCGUAAUGUUAAGCAGCGUGCAAUAUUCGUCUUUGCAGUAUUUUGAUCUUCCAUAUUACAUUUUAUACAAUUUCUUGCACAUUAUCUUGUUCCAUGUCAAGCGGCCUUUACAAUUUUUAACACGUGCAGUUUUUUCGAGAUUCUAGUUACAAUUUCGGAGGAGAAACAUAACUUAUGUGUACUUAGGUUAUAAUGAUGGUAGCCCAUUUAACCCGAACAUUUUUCGAUUUGGGGUAAGUGGGUAGCAACGUUGCAGGUAAAUGGUUCCUUAUGGGUCUAUUCACCUCAGCCAAAGGUGAAUUUACAAAAAAUAUCAAAUAUAUAUUUUUUAAUUUAGUAGUAGUAGUAGUAGGUACAACAAAGAAGAGCUGAAAGCUGCAGUUUUGGU